AACGCACAUUGCGCCCGCCAGUAUUCUGGCGGGCAUGCCUGUUCGAGCGUCAUUUCAACCCUUGGGCCCCCGUUGCUCAGCGUUGGGAGACCGCGCCUCACCGCGCGCCUCCCCAAAGUCAGUGGCGGAGCCGGCUGGCGCCCCAGACGUAGUAGAAUCCCUAUCUCGCCUGCAGCGCCCCCCGGCCUCCCGCCGUAAAACACCCCACGCCAAAAAGGUUGACCUCGGAUCAGGUAGGAAUACCCGCUGAACUUAA
rnacentral:misc_RNA from 1 species